rnacentral:tRNA from 1 species
GUAGCUUAAUAGUAAAGCAUCCAACCAGCAAUUGAGGGAUCUGGGUUCAACUCCCAGC